rnacentral:rRNA from 1 species
GACGAACGCUGGCGGCGUGCCUAAUACAUGCAAGUAGAACGCUGAAGGAGGAGCUUGCUUCUCUGGAUGAGUUGCGAACGGGUGAGUAACGCGUAGGUAACCUGCCUGGUAGCGGGGGAUAACUAUUGGAAACGAUAGCUAAUACCGCAUAAGAGUAGAUGUCGCAUGACAUUUGCUUAAAAGGUGCAAUUGCAUCACUACCAGAUGGACCUGCGUUGUAUUAGCUAGUUGGUGAGGUAACGGCUCACCAAGGCAACGAUACAUAGCCGACCUGAGAGGGUGAGCGGCCACACUGGGACUGAGACACGGCCCAGACUCCUACGGGAGGCAGCAGGAGGGAAUCUUCGGCAAUGGACGGAAGUCUGACCGAGCAACGCCGCGUGAGUGAAGAAGGUUUUCGGAUCGUAAAGCUCUGUUGUAAGAGAAGAACGAGUGUGAGAGUGGAAAGUUCACACUGUGACGGUAUCUUACCAGAAAGGGACGGCUAACUACGUG